rnacentral:rRNA from 1 species
GACGGGGGGGGCAAGUGUUCUUCGGAAUGACUGGGCGUAAAGGGCACGUAGGCGGUGAAUCGGGUUGAAAGUGAAAGUCGCCAAAAACUGGCGGAAUGCUCUCGAAACCAAUUCACUUGGGUGAGACAGAGGAGAGUGGAAUUUCGUGUGUAGGGGUGAAAUCCGCAAAUCUACGAAGGAAGGCCAAAAGCGAAGGCAGCUCUCUGGGUCCCUACAGACGCUGGGGUGCGAAAGCAUGGGGAGCGAACAGG